rnacentral:rRNA from 1 species
UGGGGAAUAUUGCACAAUGGGCGCAAGCCUGAUGCAGCCAUGCCGCGUGUGUGAAGAAGGCCUUCGGGUUGUAAAGCACUUUCAGCGGGGAGGAAGGCGUUAAGGUUAAUAACCUUGGCGAUUGACGUUACCCGCAGAAGAAGCACCGGCUAACUCCGUGCCAGCAGCCGCGGUAAUACGGAGGGUGCAAGCGUUAAUCGGAAUUACUGGGCGUAAAGCGCACGCAGGCGGUCUGUCAAGUCGGAUGUGAAAUCCCCGGGCUCAACCUGGGAAAUGCAUUCGAAACUGGCAGGCUAGAGUCUUGUAGAGGGGGGUAGGAUUCCAGGUGUAGCGGUGAAAAGCGUAGGGAACUGGAGGAAAACCGGUGGCGAAGGCGGCCCCCUGGACAAAGACUGACGCUCAGGUGCGAAAGCGUGGGGAGCAAACAGG